UACAGAGGGUGCAAGCGUUGUUCGGAUUUACUGGGCGUAAAGGGCGCGUAGGCGGUCGUGACAAGUCACUUGUGAAAUCUCCGGGCUUAACUCGGAACGGUCAAGUGAUACUGUCGGACUAGAGUACAGAAGGGGCAACUGGAAUUCUCGGUGUAGCGGUGAAAUGCGUAGAUAUCGAGAGGAACACCUGCGGCGAAGGCGGGUUGCUGGGCUGAUACUGACGCUGAGGCGCGAAAGCGUGGGGAGCAAACAGG
rnacentral:rRNA from 1 species